rnacentral:rRNA from 1 species
GUGGGGAAUAUUGCACAAUGGGGGAAACCCUGAUGCAGCGACGCCGCGUGAAGGACGAAGUAUUUCGGUACGUAAACUUCUAUCAGCAGGGAAGAAAAUGACGGUACCUGACCAAGAAGCCCCGGCUAACUACGUGCCAGCAGCCGCGGUAAUACGUAGGGGGCAAGCGUUAUCCGGAUUUACUGGGUGUAAAGGGAGCGUAGACGGCGCUGCAAGUCUGAUGUGAAAACCCGGGGCUCAACCCCGGGAGUGCAUUGGAAACUGUGGUGCUAGAGUGUCGGAGAGGCAAGUGGAAUUCCUAGUGUAGCGGUGAAAUGCGUAGAUAUUAGGAGGAACACCAGUGGCGAAGGCGGCUUGCUGGACGAUGACUGACGUUGAGGCUCGAAAGCGUGGGGAGCAAACAGG